rnacentral:tRNA from 1 species
GUCACUGUGGUGUAGUGGUUUGAGCAUUGGACUAUGACUCUGGAGACCAGGGUUCGAAUCCCCUCUGGGCCA